rnacentral:rRNA from 1 species
GACGAACGCUAGCGGAAGGCAUAAUACAUGCAAGUCGAACGGAUGUAGCAAUACAUUAGUGGCGCACGGGUGCGUAACGCGUAUGCAACCUACCUUCAUCAGGGGGAUAACUACCCGAAAGGGUGGCUAACACCGCAUAAUACUAUUGAGUGACAUCACUUGAUAUUUAAAUCUGAGGAGGAUGAAGAUGGGCAUGCGUCUGAUUAGCUAGUUGGUGUGGUAACGGCGCACCAAGGCGACGAUCAGUAGGGGAACUGAGAGGUUGGUCCCCCACACUGGCACUGAGAUACGGGCCAGACUCCUACGGGAGGCAGCAGUAGGGAAUAUUGGUCAAUGGUGGGAACACUGAACCAGCCAUUCCGCGUGCAGGAAGAAGGGUCUCUGACUUGUAAACUGCUUUAGCAAGGGAAGAAAAAGCUCAUGCGUGGGAAAUUGACGGUACCUUGAGAGUAAGCACCGGCUAACUACGUGCCAGCAGCCGCGGUAAAAC